rnacentral:misc_RNA from 1 species
UGGUUCUGGCAUCGAUGAAGAACGCAGCGAAAUGCGAUAAGUAAUGUGAAUUGCAGAAUUCAGUGAAUCAUCGAAUCUUUGAACGCACAUUGCGCCCAUUAGUAUUCUAGUGGGCAUGCCUGUUCGAGCGUCAUUUCAACCCUUAAGCCUAGCUUAGUGUUGGGAGACUGCCUAAUACGCAGCUCCUCAAAACCAGUGGCAGAGUUUUUACGUACUCUGAGCGCAGUAAUUCUAUUCUCGCUUCUGAAAACGUCUAGACGAUAGCCAAAAACCGCUUGCCUCGGCAGCACUUUUUAAUGGUUGACCUCGGAUCAGGUAGGAAUACCCGCUGA